CCUGCUUCAGGGACUUUUGGUCUUUCUUGAGGCACUUGCUGAAUUACAGAGCCACACUGGUGCCACAGUGUGCCAAGCACACGAAGCACAUGUUGGGGACGCACAGGGCCUGGUGGAAGCGGCAAAGAAAUGUAAAAUGUGUUUUGUAACAGGAAUGGAUGCAUUGCAUAAAGAGAGAAAAGAAGAAAAAAAACCCCGCCAAUAUCUUCUCCCUCCCACACUCAAUAUGUGUCCACAAUUUUACCAGGUGAGAAGACAUGAUGUUGAUCACCACUAGGUGGUGCUUCGGACACAGUAAAGGACCCUCCAGAGGUUAGUCUACUAAAGUCUUCUACUUCAACUUGUGCCAAAUCAUCUUUGACUUCAGGUCUGGGUGAGUUCAGGAUGAUUUUACCUACCACAAAAAGGAAAUAUGUAACUUUUCAUAUUGCCAUGUCGAUUCUUAGUUUUGAAGUUGAUCUUUCAGCCAU